UACGAAGGGGGCUAGCGUUGCUCGGAAUCACUGGGCGUAAAGCGCACGUAGGCGGAUUGCUAAGUCAGGGGUGAAAUCCUGGAGCUCAACUCCAGAACUGCCUUUGAUACUGGCGACCUUGAGUCCGGGAGAGGUGAGUGGAACUGCGAGUGUAGAGGUGAAAUUCGUAGAUAUUCGCAAGAACACCAGUGGCGAAGGCGGCUCACUGGCCCGGUACUGACGCUGAGGAGCGAAAGCGUGGGGAGCGAACAGG
rnacentral:rRNA from 1 species